AUUGAACGCUGGCGGCAGGCCUAACACAUGCAAGUCGAACGAGUGGCGGACGGGUGAGUAAUGUCUGGGAAACUGCCCGAUGGAGGGGGAUAACUACUGGAAACGGUAGCUAAUACCGCAUACCAUCGGAUGUGCCCAGAUGGGAUUAGCUUGUAGGUGAGGUAACGGCUCACCUAGGCGACGAUCCCUAGCUGGUCUGAGAGGAUGACCAGCCAAAGUGGAACUGAGACACGGUGCAGACUCCUACGGGAGGCAGCAGUGGGGAAUAUGGCACAAUGGGCGCAAGCCGGAGGCAGCAAGGCCGCGGGGAGGAAGAAGGCCUUCGGGUGGGAAAGUACUUUAAGCGGGGAGGCGUGACCCGCAGAAGAAGCACCGGCUAACUCCGUGCCAGAAGCCGCGGUAAUUC
rnacentral:rRNA from 1 species